GCCAGACUCCUACGGGAGGCAGCAGUGAGGAAUAUUGGUCAAUGGGCGCGAGCCUGAACCAGCCAAGUCGCGUGAGGGAUGACGGCCCUACGGGUUGUAAACCUCUUUUGUCGGGGAGCAAAAGCCGGACGUGUCCGGCUGUGAGAGUACCCGAAGAAAAAGCAUCGGCUAACUCCGUGCCAGCAGCCGCGGUAAUACGGAGGAUGCGAGCGUUAUCCGGAUUUAUUGGGUUUAAAGGGUGCGCAGGCGGAUUUUUAAGUCAGCGGUCAAAUCGUGGGGCUCAACCCCAUCCAGCCGUUGAAACUGGGGAUCUAGAGUGUGCGAGAGGUAUGCGGAAUGCGUGGUGUAGCGGUGAAAUGCAUAGAUAUCACGCAGAACCCCGAUUGCGAAGGCAGCAUACCGGUGCCCAACUGACGCUGAAGCACGAAAGCGUGGGUAUCGAACAGGAUUAGAUACCCGCGUAAAC
rnacentral:rRNA from 1 species